rnacentral:rRNA from 1 species
GACGAACGCUGGCGGCGUGCUUAACACAUGUGAGUCGAACGGAAAGGCCCUGCUUUUGUGGGGUGCUCGAGUGGCGAACGGGUGAGUAACACGUGAGUAACCUGCCCUUGACUUUGGGAUAACUUCAGGAAACUGGGGCUAAUACCGGAUAGGAGCUCCUGCUGCAUGGUGGGGGUUGGAAAGUUUCGGCGGUUGGGGAUGGACUCGCGGCUUAUCAGCUUGUUGGUGGGGUAGUGGCUUACCAAGGCUUUGACGGGUAGCCGGCCUGAGAGGGUGACCGGCCACAUGGGGACUGAGAUACGGCCCAGACUCCUACGGGAGGCAGCAGUGGGGAAUAUUGCACAAUGGGCGGAAGCCUGAUGCAGCAACGCCGCGUGCGGGAUGACGGCCUUCGGGUUGUAAACCGCUUUCGCCUGUGACGAAGCGUGAGUGACGGUAAUGGGUAAAGAAGCACCGGCUAACUACGUG